rnacentral:rRNA from 1 species
UACGUAGGCAGCGAGCGUUGUUCGGAGUUACUGGGCGUAAAGGGUGUGUAGGCGGUUGUUUAAGUUUGGUGUGAAAUCUCCCGGCUCAACUGGGAGGGUGCGCCGAAUACUGAAUGACUUGGAGUGCGGGAGAGGUGAGUGGAAUUCCUGGUGUAGCGGUGAAAUGCGUAGAUAUCAGGAGGAACACCAAUGGCGAAGGCAGCUCGCUGGUCCGGUACUGACGCUGAGGUGCGAAAGCGUGGGGAGCAAACAGG